rnacentral:lncRNA from 1 species
CUCCUCGGGCUUCUUGGCCCUGGGCGGAGUGGGAUUGGGUGUCCCGGCUGUUCGCAGUGGCCGCGAGUGCGGCCGGACCUGGAGUAGUACCUGAGCCGCUCUGGCCGAGCAAGGCGCGGGGCCCCGGUCUACACCGCGCUGGACCCGGCUAUGCCGUGACGGAAUUCCCGAGGCCGUAGCGCCACGCGAGACGCGCACUGGUGGCCUCCGCGGCGAGUCCUGGGGUCUCCGCAAGGCCUCAGUGCCCGAGCUGGGGACGUGCUGGGGGGAGGCCCGGCCCCGUCGCUGCCCGAGGCCCCGCUGUCCCGGCCGGACCGGCCUGGUCCCUGGCGUCCUGUCGGGUCCGCGCUGGAGGAGAGUCCCAGACAGCAGAGCCCGCGGUGCAGCUCCAGCCCCGGGAAGCCCCGCGCUCAACAGGUUAAUACUACACAGCGGCGAUUCUAAUGGUCACGCUUUUAUUUACAGCUCGCCUCCCUUCCGCCAAGAUUCACAGAACACGGCAGAGUGGCCUCGGGAUCACCUGCCCAAGACACCUGCACGACCGGAAGUUGGGAGAAGAAAUUAAGGCCAUGAUGAUGAACGCAGCCUUUCUCGUUUAUUUCCAAUCCCACAACAAACCGGAGUCCAGGAACUCAUGGGUGAUUAUCGGACUAUUACCUAGUCGUAAAACUGUGGAGCAUUGGUGUCUAAAGGAAUCUGAGACAGACCCGCAGUGUCUCCCCCACAUGCCUUAAGUCACUUCUGCCAAGCAGAAAAUCAUUUUUAAGUAAAUGUUAGUGAAAUUGGUUUUAAAAAAGAGAAGGGGCCGGGCGCGGUGGCUCACGCCUGUAAUCCUAUCCUUUAGGAGGCCGAGGUGGGCGGAUUGCCUGAGUUCAGGAGUUCGAGACCAGCCUGGGCGACACGGUGAAACCCCGUCCCUACUAAAAUACAAAAAAUUAGCCGGGCGUGGCGGCACGCGCCUGUAGUCCCAGCUACUCAGGAGGCUGAGGCAGGAGAAUGGCUUGAACUCGGGUGGGGGAGGUUGCAAUGAGCCGAGAUCGCGCCGCUGCACUCCAGCCUGGGCGACAGAGCGAGACUCUGUCUCUGAAAAAAAACAAAACAAAACGAGAAGGCUUUCAAAAUUACUCUGCGGUACACUAAUUUAACAGAUUAGAUCACUUUCCAGGCUUUAAGUUGGCCUUUGUUCUACCCUUUUUUUAGUGUAUGAUAAAAGUUGUGUUGGUUCGUUGAUCAGCAUGCAAUGAACUCUGGCUCUUGUUAAUCAGGUGACUACAGUUUUGUCCUUACAUUUGUAUGUAUGUCAUGAGUGGUUUUGUAUGGGCAGGAGGUAAACAACGCACAUUUAAAUAUACUUAAUGAUUUAUCAUUC